rnacentral:rRNA from 1 species
GUAAGGAAUAUUGGGCAAUGGGCGCAAGCCUGACCCAGCCAUGCCGCGUGAAGGAUGACGGCCCUAUGGGUUGUAAACUUCUUUUGUACGGGAAAAAACCACCGGUCGUGACCGGUGCUGAUGGUACCGUAAGAAUAAGCAUCGGCUAACUCCGUGCCAGCAGCCGCGGUAAUACGGAGGAUGCAAGCGUUAUCCGGAUUCAUUGGGUUUAAAGGGUGCGCAGGCGGAAUAAUAAGUCAGUGGUGAAAUCCUACGGCUCAACUGUAGAACUGCCAUUGAUACUGUUAUUCUUGAGUACACUUGAAGUGGGCGGAAUGUGUCAUGUAGCGGUGAAAUGCUUAGAUAUGACACAGAACACCGAUCGCGAAGGCAGCUCACUAAAUUGUAACUGACGCUCAUGCACGAAAGCGUGGGGAUCAAACAGGAUUAGAAACCCGAGUAGUCC